rnacentral:rRNA from 1 species
AGUGAACGCUGGCGGUAGGCCUAACACAUGCAAGUCGAACGGCAGCACAGUAAGAGCUUGCUCUUACGGGUGGCGAGUGGCGGACGGGUGAGGAAUACAUCGAAAUCUACUUUUUCGUGGGGGAUAACGUAGGGGAACUUACGCUAAUACCGCAUACGACCUACGGGUGAAAGCAGGGGAUCUUCGGACCUUGCGCGAUUGAAUGAGCCGAUGUCGGAUUAGCUAGUUGGCGGGGUAAAGGCCCACCAAGGCGACGAUCCGUAGCUGGUCUGAGAGGAUGAUCAGCCACACUGGAACUGAGACACGGUCCAGACUCCUACGGGAGGCAGCAGUGGGGAAUAUUGGACAAUGGGCGCAAGCCUGAUCCAGCCAUACCGCGUGGGUGAAGAAGGCCUUCGGGUUGUAAAGCCCUUUUGUUGGGAAAGAAAGGCAGCAGGUUAAUACCCCGCUGUUCUGACGGUACCCAAAGAAUAAGCACCGGCUAACUUCGUG